rnacentral:rRNA from 1 species
GACGAACGCUGGCGGCGUGCUUAACACAUGCAAGUCGAACGGAAAGGCCCUGCUGUUGUGGGGUGCUCGAGUGGCGAACGGGUGAGUAACACGUGAGUAACCUGCCCUUGACUUUGGGAUAACCUCAGGAAACUGGGGCUAAUACCGGAAAGGUGCUCCUGCUGCAUGGUGGGUGCUGGAAAGUUUCGGAGGUUGGGGAUGGACUAGCGGCUUAGCAGCUUGUUGGUGGGGUAGUGGCUUACCAAGGCUAUGACGGUCAGCCGGUCUGAGAGGGUGACCGGCCACAUUGGGACUGAGAUACGGCCCAGACUCCUACGGGAAGCAGCAGUGGGGAAUAUUGCACAAUGGGCGGAAGCCUGAUGCAGCAACGCCGCGUGCGGGAUGACGGCCUUCGGGUUGUAAACCGCUUUCGCCUGUGACGAAGCGUGAGUGACGGUAAUGGGUAAAGAAGCACCGGCUAACUACGUGCCAGCCGCCGCCGUAAAAC